CAUGAACUUAGCUUGCUAAGUUUGAUGGCGACCGGCGCACGGGUGAGUAACACGUAUCCAACCUGCCGAUGACUCGGGGAUAGCCUUUCGAAAGAAAGAUUAAUACCCGAUGGCAUAGUUCUUCCGCAUGGGAUAAUUAUUAAAGAAUUUCGGUUGUCGAUGGGGAUGCGUUCCAUUAGAUAGUUGGUGGGGUAAUGGCCUACCAAGGCAACGAUGCGUAGCCGACCUGAGAGGGCGACCGGCCACAUUGGGACUGAGAUACGGCCCAGACUCC
rnacentral:rRNA from 1 species